rnacentral:lncRNA from 1 species
AUAUCGAGGAAGAUAUGAAUAUUGAUGAGUAGAUCUUUAUUUUUCGUUCAAUUUGAUGUUGCAAUAAUGGUAUAUAAUAUAAUUAUAUUUAUUAGAAUGUUAUUUGAUUUCUAUUAUUAUUAUUUAAUAUUAUAUUUAUUUACAUCUCAAUUUCUGUACAUAUGGAAUCAGGAGAUAGACGACGACGGUCGCGUUCACAGUUACCUGC